rnacentral:rRNA from 1 species
AACGAACGCUGGCGGCAGGCUUAACACAUGCAAGUCGAGCGCCCCGCAAGGGGAGCGGCAGACGGGUGAGUAACGCGUGGGAACGUACCUUUUGGUUCGGAACAACUCCGGGAAACUGGAGCUAAUACCGGAUAAGCCCUAACGGGGAAAGAUUUAUCGCCGAAAGAUCGGCCCGCGUCUGAUUAGCUAGUUGGUGAGGUAACGGCUCACCAAGGCGACGAUCAGUAGCUGGUCUGAGAGGAUGAUCAGCCACACUGGGACUGAGACACGGCCCAGACUCCUACGGGAGGCAGCAGUGGGGAAUAUUGGAAAAUGGGCGCAAGCAUGAUCCAGCCAUGCCGCGUGAGUGAUGAAGGCAUUAGGGUUGUAAAGCUCUUUUGUCCGGGAAGAUAAUGACUGUACCGGAAGAAUAAGCCCCGGCUAACUUCGUG